AUGAAGGUCUGCACGAAUUUUCCCAACCAAUAUGGUUCAGCUGAAAGAGGGGGGGAGUGGAGCAGACCUCCUAUGGUUUUUCUAAAACCGAACUUUGAUGCUUCUUUUGAUCAUGAUCUGCUUAGGGGCGCAAUUGGUGUUGUCCUUCGGGAUGAUAAAGGAAAAAUCAUUGUUGGCCGAAACUGUGGGGGACCCCUCCCCCCAUUCUAA
rnacentral:rRNA from 1 species